rnacentral:tRNA from 1 species
CUCCUCUUGGUGUAGUUGGUUUGUACGUCUUACCCUUCCCCCUCAAGGUGCACAGUGUGUGGAACCCGGGCUGACUUGCGCAGAUCACGUUCGACUGUAAUAGUUAUUCUGCUAUCGAAAGGUCCCUAGUUCGAUUCUGGGAGAGGAGA